ensembl:rRNA 5S_rRNA 5S ribosomal RNA
UUGAACAGCCACACCACCCUGAACAUGCCCGAUCUCGUGAUCUCCGAAGCUAAGCAGGGUCAGGCCUGGUUAGUACUUAGUACUUGGAUGAGAGAAUUGAACUUAGAACCUCUGGUGCCUCAGG